UACGGGGGGUGCAAGCGUUAUUCGGAAUCACUGGGCGUAAAGCGCGCGCAGGCGGCCGUUUAAGUCAGAUGUGAAAGCCCGGGGCUCAACUCCGGAAGUGCAUUUGAUACUAUUCGGCUUGAGUAUGGGAGAGGGAAGUGGAAUUCCUGGUGUAGAGGUGAAAUUCGUAGAUAUCAGGAGGAACACCGGUGGCGAAGGCGACUUCCUGGACCAAUACUGACGCUGAGGCGCGAAGGCGUGGGGAGCAAACAGG
rnacentral:rRNA from 1 species